rnacentral:lncRNA from 1 species
CAGUAAGUUAAAAUUAACACAGGUGCUUACAAUGCUCUUCCAUCAGCACAAAGUUCUUGAUUUAGAAGGCCUUGAGGUAGACAGUUAAUUACUUGCUGAAUCAGGUUGAGAAUGCUUAUACAAAAGCCCUUGCUAAUUCAGAGGAAGAGAAGUUCAAGGCAAAUAUGUUUCAAGUUUUGGAAUGUGUAUGGAACUUGGGACAAAAUGAACAGAGUAAUUUCUGCAUCAGUGGGAGGCACCACUUUUCCGUCCUGUGGCCCACAGGUUGCCUGUGGGUUUUAAAAACAUGCACAUACUGAUCCUCCAUCCUUAAUUCUCCCAAAGGAAGACUAUUUGUGGGAGGACAGAGUCAGAAUCUUACCUGUGAGGCAGGCAGGUGUGGAUUUAUGAGAUGUAGAGAGCCACUCAUCAUCACCAAUCUGCAGCUCUUUCUAGACUGCAGGUUUUGGAGGGAAGGGGGAGCUAGGAGACUGAAAAACCUUUCCACAGAUAUUGCUGUAGUUUCCAAUACUUGUUUCCAGUACAGGUUGCUGGCUCCUGGUGGGAAUCAUUUAUGACCAGUUAAGUUCCAGAAUGUCCAGUUGCCCCUCUAAAUGGAGCAGCUUGGCCUUUCCUGGGGGACCAAGGCACUUCUCCAGAAGGACUGCAGCCCGUGAACCUGGACUUCAAACAACAAAUGUGCCGAGCUCACAUGAACUUGAAGUUGCCCUUUUCUUUGUGACAUCCAUAAACAUUUAUGAAGCUUUGUUUUUAUCCCAGUAAAUCUAUGUUGUUACUUUGGGUCUUUUAAUAGUGUCUAUUUAUAUCGUGAAAUCAUGACAACUGCGUUGUCUUCCUGUAAAGCCACAGGUCAAGGGUCUGCUAAGCAAAUACUAACACAUGUGAGUAACUUCCCUCAUAUGAAUAAUCAGACUGAUCUUAACAGAAUGGUUUUUUUAGGAUUUGGUUCCCAAUAUUUUGACAUAGUUCCUGAAAUGUUUUGUAGAUAGGAGCUGUUGACUUUCAUAUUGUAAAAAAAUAAUUUGAACACCAACAAGCCCCUUCCAAAAGAAGGAAACAUAUUUGGGUUAUCAGGUUUUAACAACUACAGUUUCACUUGUUAGCUUUCAUUUCCUAGGUACAAGAAGUGUUGAAAGAACAUUUAACUCAGAAGAGAUCAACUAGAAUUACUAUCAAAGAUUUGUGUAAGUUAGCAUGUAUAAUGUUUCCCCUGGUUGUAUGCAAAAACAUUUGGAGAUCUCUGGGUUGUUUGGGUUUUUUUUUUUUGGUUUUUUUUUUUUUUUGUUUUUUGUUUUUUUGCCUCUGUUUUCUAGGAAAAAAAAUGAUGGAAUUAAUUACUACAACUAGGAUGUAUUAUAUUUUAUAAUUUAUAUCAUGUAGCAUU